UACGUAGGAUGCGAGCGUUUGUUCGGAUUUAUUGGGCGUAAAGCGUGCGUAGGCGGUUACAAAAGUCUGGUGUUAAAGCUAGGGGCUCAACCCCUGUGAUGCACUGGAAACUAUGUGACUUGAGUGCGGUAGGGGAAGGUGGAAUUCCGAGUGUAGCGGUGAAAUGCGUAGAUAUUCGGAAGAACACCGGUGGCGAAGGCGACCUUCUGGGCCGCAACUGACGCUGAGGCACGAAAGCCUGGGGAGCGAACGGG
rnacentral:rRNA from 1 species